rnacentral:rRNA from 1 species
UGUGCAGGCGGCUCAUUGCGCCCGGCGUGAAAGCCCCCGGCUCAACCGGGGAGGGUCGUCGGGGACGGGUGAGCUUGAGGGUAUCAGGGGCUGGUGGAAUUCCCGGUGUAGUGGUGAAAUGCGUAGAUAUCGGGAGGAACACCCGUGGCGAAGGCGGCCAGCUGGGAUACACCUGACGCUGAGACACGAAGGCGUGGGGAGCGAACG